rnacentral:rRNA from 1 species
CCUGACCGAGCAACGCCGCGUGGAGGAUGACGGUUUUUGGAUUGUAAACUCCUUUUCGGUGGGAAGAGUGAGGACGGUACCACCGGAAUAAGUCACGGCUAACUACGUGCCAGCAGCCGCGGUAAUACGUAGGUGGCAAGCGUUAUCCGGGAAUUACUGGGCGUAAAGCGCACGCAGGUGGUUGGUUAAGACUGACGUGAAAGCUCCUGGCUUAACUGGGAGAGGUCGUUGGUGACUGGCCGACUUGAGGCGAGGAGAGGGGUGUAGAAUUCCCGGUGUAGUGGUGGAAUGCGUAGAGAUCGGGAGGAAUACCAGUGGCGAAAGCGGCACACUGGCCUUGGCCUGACGCUCAGGUGCGAAAGCGUGGGGAGCGAACGGGAUUAGAUACCCCGGUAGUCCACGCGGUAAACGAUGAAUACUAGGUGUAGGUGGUCUCAAAACUAUCUGUACCGCAGCUAACGCGCUAAGUAUUCCGCCUGGGGAGUACGACCGCAAGGUUAAAACUCAAAGGAAUUGACGGGGGCCCGCACAAGCAGCGGAGCGUGUGGUUUAAUUCGAUGCAACGCGAAGAACCUUACCUAGGUUUGACGUAGCCGUAGUAGUGAAGUGAAAGCGGAACGACCCUUCGGGGAGCGGUUACAGGUGCUGCAUGGCUGUCGUCAGCUCGUGUCGUGAGAUGUUGGGUUAAGUCCCGCAACGAGCGCAACCCUCGUCGCUAGUUACACGUGUCUAGCGAGACCGCCGAUAUCAAAUCGGAGGAAGGUGGGGAUGACGUCAAGUCAGCAUGGCCUUUAUGCCUAGGGCGACACACACGCUACAAUGGCUGGUACAAUGAGCAGCGAACGGGUGACCUGGAGCGAAUCUCAUCAAAGCCAGUCGUAGUUCAGAUUGUAGGCUGCAACCCGCCUACAUGAAGCCGGAGUUGCUAGUAAACGCAGGUCAGCCAUACUGCGUUGAAUACGUUCCCGGGCCUUGUACACACCGCCCGUCACGUCAUGGGAGUUGGUAACACCUGAAGUCGGUGACUGAACCGCAAGGACAGAGCUGCCUAGGGUGGGGCCGAUGACUGGGACGAAGUCGUAACAAGGUAACC